GGUGCCCGUACCGCAAACCGACACAGGUAGGUAGGAAGAAGAUUCUAAGGCCAACGGGAGAAGGGUUGUUAAGGAACUCGGCAAGUUGACCCCGUAACUUCGGAAUAAGGGGUGCUCAUGAAAGUGAGCCGCAGAGAAUAGGCCCAGGCAACUGUUUACCAAAAACACAGGUUUGUGCUAAAUCGAAAGAUGACGUAUACGAGCUGACGCCUGCCCGGUGCUGGAAGGUUAAAAGGAGAUGUGCAAGCAUUGAAUUGAAGCCCCAGUGAACGGCGGCCGUAACUAUAACGGUCCUAAGGUAGCGAAAUUCCUUGUCAGGUAAGUUCUGACCCGCACGAAAGGCGUAAUGAUUUGGGCACUGUCUCAACAGCCCGCCCGGCGAAAUUGUAGUACCGGUGAAGAUGCCGGUUACCCGCGACAAGACGGAAAGACCCCAUGGAGCUUUACUGUAGCCUAAUAUUGGGUUUCGAUGUUGCAUGCACAGGAUAGAUGGGACACAGGGAAACAAUCGCUUUGGCGGUUGCGGAGUGGCCGUUGGGAUACCAUCCUUGCGAUAUUGGAAUUCUAACCUGCGGCUCUGAAUCGAGUCGGGGGACAUUGUUAGGUGGGCAGUUUGACUGGGGCGGUCGCCUCCUAAAGAGUAACGGAGGCGUUCAAAGGUUCGCUCAGCUUGAACGGAAAUCAAGCAAAAGAGUGCAAACGCAGAAGCGAGCCUAACUGCGAGACUGACGGGUCGAGCAGUAACGAAAGUUGGAGUUAGUGAUCCGGUGGUAUGUGAGUGGAAAUGCCAUCGCUCAACGGAUAAAAGCUACCCUGGGGAUAACAGGCUGAUCUCCCCCAAGAGUCCACAUCGACGGGGAGGUUUGGCACCUCGAUGUCGGCUCAUCGCAUCCUGGGGCUGAAGUAGGUCCCAAGGGUUGGGCUGUUCGCCCAUUAAAGCGGUACGCGAGCUGGGUUCAGAACGUCGUGAGACAGUUCGGUCCCUAUCUGUCGUGGGCGCAGGAUAUUUGAUGGGAGCUGUUCCUAGUACGAGAGGACCGGAGCGGACGUACCUCUGGCGCACCAGUUGUUCUGCCAAGGGCAUAGCUGGGCAACUAUGUACGGAUCGGAUAAACGCUGAAAGCAUCUAAGCGUGAAGCCGACCCAAAGAUAAGAUAUCCCAUUGUUUCAAACAAGUAAGACCCCUUGAAGACUACAAGGUUGAUAGGCACGAUGUGUAAGUGGAGUGAUCCAUUCAGCAAGCGUGUACUAAUAGGUCGAGGGCUUGACCAC
rnacentral:rRNA from 1 species